rnacentral:rRNA from 1 species
GGGUUGUGAGGUUAAGCGACUAAGCGUACACGGUGGAUGCCCUGGCAGUCAGAGGCGAUGAAGGGCGUGCUAAUCUGCGAUAAGCGCCGGUAAGGUGAUAUGAACCGUUAUAACCGGCGAUACCCGAAUGGGGAAACCCAGUGUGACUCGUCACACUAUCAUUAACUGAAUCCAUAGGUUAAUGAGGCGAACCGGGGGAACUGAAACAUCUAAGUACCCCGAGGAAAAGAAAUCAACCGAGAUUCCCCCAGUAGCGGCGAGCGAACGGGGAGGAGCCCAGAGCCUGAAUCAGCAUGUGUGUUAGUGGAAGCGUCUGGAAAGGCGCGCGAUACAGGGUGACAGCCCCGUACACAAAAGCGCAUGUGCUGUGAGCUCGAUGAGUAGGGCGGGACACGUGGUAUCCUGUCUGAAUAUGGGGGGACCAUCCUCCAAGGCUAAAUACUCCUGACUGACCGAUAGUGAACCAGUACCGUGAGGGAAAGGCGAAAAGAACCCCGGCGAGGGGAGUGAAAAAGAACCUGAAACCGUGUACGUACAAGCAGUGGGAGCCCCACCACUAAGCCAGUGGUGAACUCCACAUACGCAUCCUUUGCUGAGGAUACGGUUAACGGAGCGCAAGCGACGUUCAACCGCAAAAGAA